GACGAACGCUGGCGGCGUGCUUAACACAUGCAAGUCGAACGAUGAAGCUAGAGCUUGCUCUGGUGAAUUAGUGGCGAACGGGUGAGUAACACGUGAGUAACCUGCCCCGAACUCUGGGAUAACUGCUGGAAACGGUAGCUAAUACUGGAUACGACCUACGAAGGCAUCUUCUGUAGGUGGAAAGAAUUUCGGUUCGGGAUGGACUCGCGGCCUAUCAGCUUGUUGGUGAGGUAAUGGCUCACCAAGGGGACGACGGGUAGCCGGCCGGAGAGGGUGACCGGCCACACUGGGACUGAGACACGGCCCAGACGCCUACGGGAGGCAGCAGUGGGGAAUAUUGCACAAUGGGCGCAAGCCUGAUGCAGCAACGCCGCGUGAGGGAUGACGGCCUUCGGGUUGUAAACCUCUUUUAGUAGGGAAGAAGCGAAAGAGACGGUACCUGCAGAAAAAGCACCGGCUAACUACGUGCCAGCCGCCGCCGUAA
rnacentral:rRNA from 1 species